rnacentral:rRNA from 1 species
GAUGAACGCUAGCGGCAGGCUUAAUACAUGCAAGUCGAGGGGCAGCAUGAGUGUAGCAAUACAUUUGAUGGCGACCGGCAAACGGGUGCGGAACACGUACACAACCUUCCUAUAAGUGGGGAAUAGCCCAGAGAAAUUUGGAUUAAUACCCCGUAACAUAAUGAUGUGGCAUCACAUUAUUAUUAUAGCUUCGGCGCUUAUUGAUGGGUGUGCGGCUGAUUAGAUAGUUGGCGGGGUAACGGCCCACCAAGUCUACGAUCAGUAGCUGAUGUGAGAGCAUGAUCAGCCACACGGGCACUGAGACACGGGCCCGACUCCUACGGGAGGCAGCAGUAAGGAAUAUUGGUCAAUGGACGCAAGUCUGAACCAGCCAUGCCGCGUGAAGGA